rnacentral:miRNA from 1 species
GCAGACACAUUCCAGCCAAUCAGCAGCAGACCCUCCCUCCCAGACCCUCCCACCUCCUGGACAGCUCAUUAAGAAUGCAGCUUCACAAUGAAUGUAAAAUGGAUGCUGUCCAGGAGGUGGGAGGGUCUGGGAGGGAGGGUCUGCUGCUGAUUGACUGGAAUGUGUCUG